UUUUUGAAAGGAUCAUAUUGACAAAAAAGUUUGCGACCUCGAUGUUGGAUUAGGAUACUUUUUUAAUGAAGAUAUUAAAAAAAGAAGUUUGUUCAACUUUUAAUUUCCUACUUGAUCUGAGUUCAGACCCAA
rnacentral:rRNA from 1 species